GAAAUGCGAUAAGUAGUGUGAAUUGCAGAAUUCAGUGAAUCAUCGAAUCUUUGAACGCACAUUGCGCCCCUUGGUAUUCCAUGGGGCAUGCCUGUUCGAGCGUCAUUUGUACCCUCAAGCUUUGCUUGGUGUUGGGCGUUUUGUUCUCUUCUGGAGGACUCGCCUUAAAUCAAUUGGCAGCCGGCAUAUUGGUAUCGGAGCGCAGCACAAGUCGCACUCCUUUCCAUGAAUGUUGGCGCUCAUCAAGACUAUUUUUUCACUCUUGACCUCGGAUCAGGUAGAGAUACCCGCUGAACUUAA
rnacentral:misc_RNA from 1 species